CGGGCGUUAAGUUGCAGGGUAUAGACCCGAAACCCGGUGAUCUAGCCAUGGGCAGGUUGAAGGUUGGGUAACACUAACUGGAGGACCGAACCGACUAAUGUUGAAAAAUUAGCGGAUGACCUGUGGCUGGGGGUGAAAGGCCAAUCAAACCGGGAGAUAGCUGGUUCUCCCCGAAAGCUAUUUAGGUAGCGCCUCGUGAACUCAUCUCCGGGGGUAGAGCACUGUUUCGGCUAGGGGGCCAUCCCGGCUUACCAACCCGAUGCAAACUGCGAAUACCGGAGAAUGUUAUCACGGGAGACACACGGCGGGUGCUAACGUCCGUCGUGAAGAGGGAAACAACCCAGACCGCCAGCUAAGGUCCCAAAGUCAUGGUUAAGUGGGAAACGAUGUGGGAAGGCCCAGACAGCCAGGAUGUUGGCUUAGAAGCAGCCAUCAUUUAAAGAAAGCGUAAUAGCUCACUGGUCGAGUCGGCCUGCGCGGAAGAUGUAACGGGGCUAAACCAUGCACCGAAGCUGCGGCAGCGACACUCAGGUGUUGUUGGGUAGGGGAGCGUUCUGUAAGCCUGCGAAGGUGGCCUGUGAGGGUUGCUGGAGGUAUCAGAAGUGCGAAUGCUGACAUAAGUAACGAUAAAGCGGGUGAAAAGCCCGCUCGCCGGAAGACCAAGGGUUCCUGUCCAACGUUAAUCGGGGCAGGGUGAGUCGACCCCUAAGGCGAGGCCGAAAGGCGUAGUCGAUGGGAAACGGGUUAAUAUUCCCGUACUUGGUGUUACUGCGAAGGGGGGACGGAGAAGGCUAUGUUGGCCGGGCGACGGUUGUCCCGGUUUAAGCGUGUAGGUGUGUGUUCCAGGUAAAUCCGGUUCACUUUAACACUGAGGCGUGAUGACGAGGCACUACGGUGCUGAAGCAACAAAUGCCCUGCUUCCAGGAAAAGCCUCUAAGCAUCAGGUAACAUCAAAUCGUACCCCAAACCGACACAGGUGGUCAGGUAGAGAAUACCAAGGCGCUUGAGAGAACUCGGGUGAAGGAACUAGGCAAAAUGGUGCCGUAACUUCGGGAGAAGGCACGCUGACACGUAGGUGAAGUGAUUUACUCAUGGAGCUGAAGUCAGUCGAAGAUACCAGCUGGCUGCAACUGUUUAUUAAAAACACAGCACUGUGCAAACACGAAAGUGGACGUAUACGGUGUGACGCCUGCCCGGUGCCGGAAGGUUAAUUGAUGGGGUCAGCGCAAGCGAAGCUCCUGAUCGAAGCCCCGGUAAACGGCGGCCGUAACUAUAACGGUCCUAAGGUAGCGAAAUUCCUUGUCGGGUAAGUUCCGACCUGCACGAAUGGCGUAAUGAUGGCCAGGCUGUCUCCACCCGAGACUCAGUGAAAUUGAACUCGCUGUGAAGAUGCAGUGUACCCGCGGCAAGACGGAAAGACCCCGUGAACCUUUACUAUAGCUUGACACUGAACAUUGAGCCUUGAUGUGUAGGAUAGGUGGGAGGCUUUGAAGUGUGGACGCCAGUCUGCAUGGAGCCGGCCUUGAAAUACCACCCUUUAAUGUUUGAUGUUCUAACGUGGACCCGUGAUCCGGGUUGCGGACAGUGUCUGGUGGGUAGUUUGACUGGGGCGGUCUCCUCCUAAAGAGUAACGGAGGAGCACGAAGGUUGGCUAAUCCUGGUCGGACAUCAGGAGGUUAGUGCAAUGGCAUAAGCCAGCUUGACUGCGAGCGUGACGGCGCGAGCAGGUGCGAAAGCAGGUCAUAGUGAUCCGGUGGUUCUGAAUGGAAGGGCCAUCGCUCAACGGAUAAAAGGUACUCCGGGGAUAACAGGCUGAUACCGCCCAAGAGUUCAUAUCGACGGCGGUGUUUGGCACCUCGAUGUCGGCUCAUCACAUCCUGGGGCUGAAGUAGGUCCCAAGGGUAUGGCUGUUCGCCAUUUAAAGUGGUACGCGAGCUGGGUUUAGAACGUCGUGAGACAGUUCGGUCCCUAUCUGCCGUGGGCGCUGGAGAACUGAGGGGGGCUGCUCCUAGUACGAGAGGACCGGAGUGGACGCAUCACUGGUGUUCGGGUUGUCAUGCCAAUGGCACUGCCCGGUAGCUAAAUGCGGAAGAGAUAAGUGCUGAAAGCAUCUAAGCACGAAACUUGCCCCGAGAUGAGUUCUCCCUGAGACUUUAGGUCUCCUGAAGGAACGUUGAAGACGACGACGUUGAUAGGCCGGGUGUGUAAGCGCAGCGAUGCGUUGAGCUAACCGGUACUAAUGAACCGUGAGGCUUAACCUUACA
rnacentral:rRNA from 1 species